CAGCCGCCGCGGUAAUACGUAGGUGGCAAGCGUUGUCCGGAAUUAUUGGGCGUAAAGGGCUCGCAGGCGGUUUCUUAAGUCUGAUGUGAAAGCCCCCGGCUCAACCGGGGAGGGUCAUUGGAAACUGGGAAACUUGAGUGCAGAAGAGGAGAGUGGAAUUCCACGUGUAGCGGUGAAAUGCGUAGAGAUGUGGAGGAACACCAGUGGCGAAGGCGACUCUCUGGUCUGUAACUGACGCUGAGGAGCGAAAGCGUGGGGAGCGAACAGGAUUAGAUACCCCGGUAGUCCCUGUCUCUUAUCA
rnacentral:rRNA from 1 species